UACGAAGGGGGCUAGCGUUGCUCGGAAUCACUGGGCGUAAAGCGCACGUAGGCGGCUUUCUAAGUCAGGGGUGAAAUCCUGGAGCUCAACUCCAGAACUGCCUUUGAUACUGGAGUAGCUCGAGUCCGGAAGAGGUGAGUGGGAAGCUCCGAGUGUAGAGGUGAAAUUCGUAGAUAUUACGGAAGAACACCAGUGGCGAAGGCGGACUCACUG
rnacentral:rRNA from 1 species